UGGCGGACGGGUGAGUAACGCGUGAGUAACCUGCCGUAUACCGGGGGAUAACAGUUAGAAAUGACUGCUAAUACCGCAUAAGCGCACAGUGCUGCAUGGCACAGUGUGAAAAACUCCGGUGGUAUAUGAUGGACUCGCGUCUGAUUAGUUAGUUGGUGAGGUAACGGCCCACCAAGACAGCGAUCAGUAGCCGACUUGAGAGAGUGAUCGGCCACACUGGGACUGAGACACGGCCCAAACUCCUACGGGAGGCAGCAGUGGGGAAUAUUGCACAAUGGGGGAAACCCUGAUGCAGCGACGCCGCGUGAGUGAAGAAGUAUUUCGGUAUGUAAAGCUCUAUCAGCAAGGAAGAUAAUGACGGUACUUGACUAAGAAGCCCCGGCUAACUACGUGCCAGCAGCCGCGGUAAUACGUAGGGGGCAAGCGUUAUCCGGAUUUACUGGGUGUA
rnacentral:rRNA from 1 species